rnacentral:lncRNA from 1 species
UUGCUUUCAAAUUUACCUACAUAGUUACUACAUUUGUGAAUUUAUUGUCUGCAGGUUCUUCAUGAUCCCUAAGAUUACUAGAAAUUCCAUCCUCACCAGCUAUAGAGGAAUAUCAAAGUGAGAUAAUAACUGAAUGUACACAAACAUGUAUUGAAGAAGGACAAGUGUAUCAGGACAAGAAAACACUAGCUGCUGCAAUGAAG